GAUGAACGCUAGCUACAGGCUUAACACAUGCAAGUCGCGGGGCAGCAUGGGGGUUGCUUGCAAUCCCCGAUGGCGACCGGCGCACGGGUGAGUAACGCGUAUUCAACCUGCCCUUCACCACGGGAUAACCCGGCGAAAGUCGGACUAAUACCGUAUGUUGUCCAUUGACGGCAUCCGAUUUGGACGAAAGGCUUGGCGGUGAGGGAUGGGGAUGCGUCCGAUUAGCCAGACGGCGGGGUAACGGCCCACCGUGGCUACGAUCGGUAGGGGUUCUGAGAGGAAGGUCCCCCACACUGGAACUGAGACACGGUCCAGACUCCUACGGGAGGCAGCAGUGAGGAAUAUUGGUCAAUGGGCGUAAGCCUGAACCAGCCAAGUAGCGUGCAGGAUGACGGCCCUAUGGGUUGUAAACUGCUUUUAUGCGGGGAUAAAGUGGCCCACGGGUGGGCUUUUGCAGGUACCGCAUGAAUAAGGACCGGCUAAUUCCGUG
rnacentral:rRNA from 1 species